UACGGGGGGGGCAAGCGUUGUUCGGAAUUACUGGGCGUAAAGGGCUCGUAGGUGGCCAACUAAGUCAGACGUGAAAUCCCUCGGCUUAACCGGGGAACUGCGUCUGAUACUGGAUGGCUUGAGUUCGGGAGAGGGAUGCGGAAUUCCAGGUGUAGCGGUGAAAUGCGCAGAUAUCAGGAGGAACACCAAUGGCGAAGGCAGCUCGCUGGGACGGUACUGACGCUGGAGACGCGAAAGCGUGGGGAGCAAACAGG
rnacentral:rRNA from 1 species